UACGUAGGGACCGAGCGUUGUCCGGAAUCAUUGGGCGUAAAGAGCGUGUAGGCGGCCCUUUAAGUCCUGCGUGAAAUCCUGCGGCUCAACCGCAGACGGUCGUGGGAAACUGGAGGGCUAGAGUGCGGGAGAGGAGAGUGGAAUUCCCAGUGUAGCGGUGAAAUGCGCAGAUAUCAGGAAGAACACCCGUGGCGAAGGCGGCUCUCUGGGACGGUACUGACGCUGAGACGCGAAAGCGUGGGGAGCGAACAGG
rnacentral:rRNA from 1 species